UGGGGAAUAUUGCACAAUGGGCGCAAGCCUGAUGCAGCCAUGCCGCGUGUAUGAAGAAGGCCUUCGGGUUGUAAAGUACUUUCAGCGAGGAGGAAGGCAUUGUGGUUAAUAACCACAGUGAUUGACGUUACUCGCAGAAGAAGCACCGGCUAACUCCGUGCCAGCAGCCGCGGUAAUACGGAGGGUGCAAGCAUUAAUCGGAAUUACUGGGCGUAAAGCGCACGCAGGCGGUCUGUCAAGUCGGAUGUGAAAUCCCCGGGCUCAACCUGGGAACUGCAUUCGAAACUGGCAGGCUAGAGUCUUGUAGAAGGGGGUAGAAUUCCAGGUGUAGCGGUGAAAUGCGUAGAGAUCUGGAGGAAUACCGGUGGCGAAGGCGGCCCCCUGGACAAAGACUGACGCUCAGGUGCGAAAGCGUGGGGAGCAAACAGGAUUAGAUACCCUGGUAGUCCACGCCGUAAACGAUGUCGACUUGGAGGUUGUUCCCUUGAGGAGUGGCUUCCGGAGCUAAUGCGUUAAGUCGACCGCCUGGGGAGUACGGCCGCAAGGUUA
rnacentral:rRNA from 1 species